rnacentral:rRNA from 1 species
GACGAACGCUGGCGGUGUGCUUCACACAUGCAAGUCGAACGAGGUAGCAAUACCUAGUGGCGGACGGGUGAGUAACGCGUGGGAAUCUGCCUUUAGAUGGGGGAUAACGGGUCGAAAGACUCGCUAAUACCGCAUAUGACGAAAGUUGAAAGGAGUAAUCCGUCUAAAGAUGAGCCCGCGUCCGAAUUAGCUAGUUGGUAGAGUAAAAGCCUACCAAGGCGACGAUCGGUAGCUGGUCUGAGAGGAUGAUCAGCCACAAUGGGAACUAGAGACACGGCCCAUACUCCUACGGGAGGCAGCAGUGGGAAUUUUACGCAAUGGGCGAAAGCCUGACGUAGCGACACCGCGUGAGCGAAGAAGCCCUUGGGGUGUAAAGCUCUGUCAGCUGGAACGAAAAAAAUGACGGUACCAGCAGAGGAAGCAUCGGCUAACUACGUGCCAGCAGCCGCGGUUAAAU